rnacentral:tRNA from 1 species
GAAAGAUGGCCGAGAGGUCGAAGGCACUUGAUUCGAAAUCAAGCAAGGGGCAACUCUUCGGGGGUUCAAAUCCCCCUCUUUCC